AUGGGCAAGUCGAGCAAGAAGUCUGCUGUUGAGGUUGCACCUGCCGCUGGGCUGGUCCCAGGUGGAAAAUCUGGAAAGAAAGGCAAGAGGAAUGCGGAAGAUGACAUCGAGAAGGCUGUCAGUGCCAAGAAGCAGAAAACUGCCCCUGAGAAGGCCGUGCCUGUGAAGAAUGAUCUUAAAGUCAAGAAGAAGCUCCCUCCAAAGAAGGUCGAGAGCAGCAGUUCUGAUGAGGAUUCUUCAGAAUCCGAAGAUGAGGUGAUGGUUCAACCAAAGAAGGCUGCACCGUCUGCUAAACAGGAGUCCAGCUCUGAUAGCAGCGAUGAGAGCAGUUCUGAUGACGAACCUGCAAAAAAGCCUGCUACUGCUUCAAAGAAACCUGCUGCACUUGCUAGCAAUGGUUCAAAGAAAGUCAAGUCUGACAGCAGCAGCUCUGACAGCAGCUCCGAUGAGGAUGUGAUGGUCCCACCCAAGAAGGCUGCACAAUCUGCUAAACAGGAGUCCAGCUCUGAAGGUAGUGAUGAGAGCAGCUCCGAUGAUGAACCUGCAAAGAAACCUGCUGCCGCUUCAAAGAAACCUGCUGCAAAGACUGAAGAUUCAGAUAGCAGCAGCUCUGAUGAGGAUGAAGAUAUGCUUCCCGCUAAAGCACCAGCAACAGCCAAGAAGAUUGAAGAAUCCAGUGAAAGUUCUGAUUCUGAAAGCUCUGACUCUGAGAAGCCAGCUACUGAAGUGAAGAAUUCUGUGGUUGCCACUGCACAAAAGAAAAACCAGGACGGCUCUGACAGUGAUUCUGAUGAUUCAUCAGAUGAGGAUAUGGCCACUAAAAAACCAGUAGCCAAGAAAGUGGUAGAAUCCAGUGAAAGUUCUGAUUCUGACUCUGAGGAGGAGGAUACCACUGCUAAACCAGUUCAAUCUUCCAAGGCUGGUAAGAAGGGCAAAGAAUCUAGUGAUAGCUCAGAUUCUGACUCAGAUUCAGAUUCUGAAGAAGAUACCACCGCUAAAACAGUCUCUGUAAAGAAAGAAGAAUCUAGUGGCAGCUCAGAUAGUGACUCGGAUUCAGAUUCUGAUGAACCAGCAAAAUCUACUAUUCCUGCGAAGAGGCCUCUGACAACAGAGAAAAAGAGUGAACAUUCCAAGGAUGAUUCUGAUGAUAGUUCUGAUGAGAGUGAUGAGGAAGAGCCUCCACAAAAGAAGCCUAAGGAUUCAUCUUCUGGUGCUGCCAAGCCAGUCUCUAAGGCUGCCAAGAAAGAAAGCAGUGAUGAUGAUGACAGUUCUGAAGAGAGCUCUGACAGUGAUGAGGAAAAGAGUAAAUCGGUGUCAGUGGCAAAACCCAAGCAGAACGAACCAAAAACUCCUGCCAGCAGUGGUCAAGCUACUACUGGGUCAAAGACCCUUUUUGUUGGGAAUCUGUCAUACAAUGUGGAGACUGAACAAGUGAAGCAAUUUUUUGGGGAGGCUGGUGAGGUUAUGGAUAUUCGUUUUGCUACCGCUGAUGAUGGGAGCUUCAAGGGUUUUGCACAUGUUGAAUUUGCUACAACUGAAGCUGCUCAAAAGGCAUACGAAUUAAAUGGAGGAGAUUUGGCGGGGAGGCCUGUCAGGCUUGAUUUUGCUCGUGAGCGAGGCGCUAUUACUCCUGGCAGCGGGAGGGACAAUAGUUCUUUCAAGAAGCCUGGUCAAAGCAAUACCGCUUUUGUUAGAGGAUUUGAUUCAUCUCUUGGGGAGGAAGAGAUCCGAAGCUCGCUUCAAGGGCAUUUUAGCUCAUGUGGAGAUAUUAGAAGAGUUUCAAUCCCAAAGGAUUAUGAUACUGGCGCAAGCAAAGGGAUAGCGUACAUAGAAUUUGAUGACAUCAGUUCUUUGCCCAAAGCGCUCGAGCUGAACGGGUCUAACAUUGGAGAAGGCUUAAGCUUGUUUGUUGAUGAAGCCAAGCCUAGGGCUGAUAACAGAGAUGGCGCUGAUAGUGGUAACAGGAGCGCAGGAAGAUUUAAUGGGGGCGGGGGCCGCAGAGGAAGAUUUGACGGGGGCGGGGGCCGCAGAGGUGGAAGGUUUGACGGGGGUGCGGGCCGCAGAGGUGGUGGAAGAUUUGGCCGGGGUGACAGAGGCGGCCGGAGUGACAGGGGCCGUGGUCGGGGUGGUGCACCCCCCAGGCAGAGUGCUGGCACACCUAGUGCAGGGAAGAAGAUAACUUUCGGUGAUGACUGA
rnacentral:rRNA from 1 species